AACGAACGGCUGGCGGCAGGCCUAACACAUGCAAGUCGAGCGCGCCUUCGGGUGAGCGGCGGACGGGUUAGUAACGCGUGGGAACGUACCCUUCUCUACGGAAUAGCCUUUGGAAACGAAGAGUAAUACCGUAUACGCCCUUUGGGGGAAAGAUUUAUCGGAGAAGGAUCGGCCCGCGUUAGAUUAGAUAGUUGGUGGGGUAACGGCCUACCAAGUCUACGAUCUAUAGCUGGUUUUAGAGGAUGAUCAGCAACACUGGGACUGAGACACGGCCCAGACUCCUACGGGAGGCAGCAGUGGGGAAUCUUAGACAAUGGGCGCAAGCCUGAUCUAGCCAUGCCGCGUGAGUGAUGAAGGCCUUAGGGUCGUAAAGCUCUUUCGCCUGUGAUGAUAAUGACAGUAGCAGGUAAAGAAACCCCGGCUAACUCCGUGCCAGCAGCCGCGGUAAUACGGAGGGGGUUAGCGUUGUUCGGAAUUACUGGGCGUAAAGCGCACGUAGGCGGAUUGGAAAGUUGGGGGUGAAAUCCCGGGGCUCAACCCCGGAACUGCCUCCAAAACUAUCAGUCUAGAGUUCGAGAGAGGUGAGUGGAAUUCCAAGUGUAGAGGUGAAAUUCGUAGAUAUUUGGAGGAACACCAGUGGCGAAGGCGGCUCACUGGCUCGAUACUGACGCUGA
rnacentral:rRNA from 1 species